AUGAACGCUAGCGGCAGGCUUAACACAUGCAAGUCGAGGGGCAGCGCGGGAUAGCAAUAUCCUGGCGGCGACCGGCGGAAGGGUGCGUAACGCGUGAGCGACAUGCCCGUUGCCCGGGGACAACCGGUGGAAACGCCGACUAAUCCCCGAUGGGAUAUUGUGCCGCAUGGCACGAUAUUGAAAGUUACGGCGGCGACGGAUUGGCUCGCGUCCGAUUAGCUUGUUGGCGGGGUAACGGCCCACCAAGGCUACGAUCGGUAGGGGUUCUGAGAGGAAGGCCCCCCACAAUGGGACUGAGACACGGCCCAUACUCCUACGGGAGGCAGCAGUGAGGAAUAUUGGUCAAUGGGCGGAAGCCUGAACCAGCCAUGCCGCGUGCGGGAAGGAGGCCCUAUGGGCUGUGAACCGCUUUUGCCUGGGGGCAAUAAGGGCGUCGCGCACGUCCGAUGAGAGUACCAGGCGAAUAAGCAUCGGCUAACUCCGUGCCAGCAGCCGCGGUAAUACGGGGGAUGCGAGCGUUAUCCGGAUUCAUUGGGUUUAAAGGGUGCGUAGGCUGUGCGUCAAGUCGGGGGUGAAAUUCCGGUGCUCAACACCGGGGCUGCCCUUGAUACUGUCGCGCUGGAGUGCGGAUGCCGCCGGAGGAAUGAGUGGUGUAGCGGUGAAAUGCUUAGAUAUCACUCAGAACACCGAUUGCGAAGGCAUCUGGCGAAUCCGUAACUGACGCUGAGGCACGAAAGCGUGGGGAUAGAACAGGAUUAGAUACCCUGGUAGUCCACACGGUAAACGAUGAAUACUCGCUGUUUGCGAUAUACAGCAAGCGGCCAAGCGAAAGCGUUAAGUAUUCCACCUGGGGAGUACGUUCGCAAGAAUGAAACUCAAAGGAAUUGACGGGGACCCGCACAAGCGGUGGAGCAUGUGGUUUAAUUCGAAGCAACGCGAAGAACCUUACCAAAUCUUGACAUCCCUCUGACCGGAACUUAACCGUUCCUUUCCUUCGGGACAGAGGAGACAGGUGGUGCAUGGUUGUCGUCAGCUCGUGCCGUGAGGUGUCGGCUCAAGUGCCAUAACGAGCGCAACCCCUGCCGCCAGUUGCCAUCAGGUCAUGCUGGGCACUCUGGCGGGACUGCCACCGCAAGGUGUGAGGAGGGGGGGGAUGACGUCAAAUCAGCACGGCCCUUACGUCCGGGGCGACACACGUGUUACAAUGGCGGCCACAGAGGGAUGCUACCCCGCGAGGGGAUGCGGAUCUCGAAAAGCCGUCCCAGUUCGGACUGGAGUCUGCAACCCGACUCCACGAAGUUGGAUUCGCUAGUAAUCGCGCAUCAGCCAUGGCGCGGUGAAUACGUUCCCGGGCCUUGUACACACCGCCCGUCACACCAUGGGAGUUGGGAAUGCCCGAAGCCAGUGACCUAACCGAAAGGAAGGAGCUGUCGAAGGCAGGCUCGAUAACUGGGGUG
rnacentral:rRNA from 1 species